UGCUUCUACUCUAGCAAACAGUGCAACAGCUACUGACAAAUUAGAUACCUACAUACUGCUAGUCAUAUAACGUCAAACUCCCAACUUCAAGUUCGACUUCGCUUUCAUUUCCAGUAUACACACACGUUUAAUUCAGUAAUUCAGUGCAAGUUGUGCGCUCCACAAAGCGUGUGUUGAUUCACCAUCGUUUAAGGUUAUGAGGAAAUUGUUCAAAGUUUAAUUUAUUCUGUUAGAACUUCUCAAGAUGGGAAUGUUUAACAUCAACAAGAAGUUGUGGCCCAUGAAGGCACAUUACUUCCUCUGGAAUGCUGGAACUGCUCCUGUGACACCCUUCCUGACAGUUUAUGCAAAACAACUGGGAUUUUCUAGUUUUAUUGUGGGGAUUAUCUAUACAAUUUUACCAAUUUGUGGAAUGAUUGCGAGGCCUAUGUUUGGAGCAGUUGCAGAUAGAUACAAGUGUCAAAAGAGGAUCUUUUUGAUGAAUCAACUGCUUACUGCUGUUAUGUUUCUGGCAAUUCUUUACAUUCCUGAAACUACAACUGUGAGCAGGGCACACUUUGCUUGCCACUCGAGUGAGAGUGUUUUUGAUGUUUGCUGGAAUAAUCGGACACAUAGACAUGCAGAUAGGAAUUUAUUUCAAUUGGAACAAUUGGAGGAUGCACAUUUGAUUGGUGAUACUACUAAUUGUGAGCUGAAUUGUCCCCUAAAUGACAAAAUGUGGUACACAGUAAAAUCCUGGUGGAACUACAGUGACCAAUCCGGCUUGAACUUAAAAUUCAACGCACAUAUCCCCAUAGACAAAGCCGAACAAUUCACAGAAGACUGCAUCAUCUUCAAAAUCUCAAACAUAACCCUACCUAACCAAAAAACACUGGUCCCAAGAUGUCCGGCGAAAGACAACGCAAUUUCUUCAUUUUGCGACAUCAAAUGCGACUCGCAGUACCUCAACUCACUAGUACCACGUCAAGUUGUCGACGACAACGUGAUCAUCGGCUCGUAUCAAUUCUGGUUGUUCGUUACCUUCAUGAUACUGGCAUGGAUAGGCCAAGCUGUAGUCAUCAGCGUGUCCGACACAAUCUGCUUUGAAUUACUCGGUGAUAAACCAAGCAAAUACGGCAAUCAACGGUGUUUUGGUUCACUGGGAUGGGGAAUCUGUGCGGUUAUUACUGGACUCAUCGUGGACGCCACCAGCGAGGAUGAUAACAAAUCAAAUUACACUUAUGCGUUUUAUUUGGGCUUCACGAUGAUUCUCUUGGACUUUUUGGUGUCAUUUAGACUAAAGACUGAGCAAACAAAUGUUUCCGUCAAUAUCCUCCGUGAUGUGAGUCAAUUGUUAACGGAUGUACGCGUGUGUGUAUUCAUCCUCUGGUGUAUAUUCAUCGGGAUGUGUACUGGAUUGAUUUGGAACUUCCUCUUUUGGUUCAUUGAAGAAGACCUAGGCGGACGCAGCCACACCUGGAUUAAAACACUAGAGGGCAUUGUGAUGGCAAUUCAAUGCUUGGGUGGAGAACUACCUCUUUUUUUCCUCUCCGGUUGGAUUGUGCGCAAAAUCGGCCAUGUUAACUGCAUGACUUUCAUUUUGUUAGCGAUGGGAUUGCGUUUCAUUCUCUAUUCUCUACUCAGUGAUCCGUGGUGGAUUCUUCCUAUUGAAUUCUUCAAUGGGAUCACUUUUGGAUUGUUUUAUGCUUGUAUGGCGUCGUAUGCUAGUAUCAUUGCUCCACCGGGGACUGAAACUACAAUGCAGGGAUUGGUGGGUGCAGUGUUUGAAGGAAUAGGAGCGUCCAUUGGUAGUUUUGUCGGCGGAUACAUGUUUGAAGAGUACUCUGGUAAAAUCACAUACCGGAUAUUCGGGAUUGUUUCAUUGGUGCUCUGUCUCGUGCACUUCGGUGUACAGCUGCUGAUUAAACGCGCUCAUAAAGGUGAGAAGAAUAAUGUUGAGAAUGAUGCACCUCGAUAGUGUUCACACACUCUGUUGCACUUUGUUGCAAAACUGUUGCGACGUUGUUUGUGUUUUGAGGCUUUUGACAUGGUGAACGGGGAAAACUAGGUAUAUUGAAUUACACUGGGUAAUUAUUAAUAAUUUUCUGAGUAAUUCAUUAAUUGUUAGUUAUUUUUAUGGAAUUUAUUAAUAUUUUGACGGUUUUUAACACUUUUAAAGCGGUUUUGGCGUGUUUCUUUAAUUUAAUUGGCAGUAACUUAAUAACAAAAUUAUUUUUUAACAAUUUAAGGGUUUUAUCACUUCAUAAUUAAGCUGUGUAUAAAUUUUGUACGUUAUAACAUCGUAAAUAAUUUUAAAACAUUGAUUUCUAGUAGAUUUGUGGUGCUAAACAUGAAAUUAUAACAAAAUAAGCAGUAAAAACUUUAAUUGGCUAUGAAUUUAUCAAUAAUUAAGUUUAUUUAUUAAAAAAUUUAAAUUUUGGUGCAAAUUACAGAAGUUUUUCCGACAAAUUUUGAAAAAAGUAUGAAAAAUGGCCAAAAAACAAAAAAAUAUAAAUUAAAACAGUUUGAUUGGUAUAAAUUAUUAUUCCAAGGAUAAUUUUACGGUUAAUAAGUUGCUAUAAUCAUAGCAUGUUGAAUUUUACCUGUGCAGCCUGGUGUAAAACCAAUUUGAAAGUUUGACACUAUUUGCAUUUCACUAUAAUUCAACCGUGCAUUUAUAAACAUGUUUUUGAUGUUAUGCGCAAGUUUCUGUAAUUGUUUUAUAACAAAACAUGUGAUAAUUGUUAUAAUUUUCCAAAAAAAAGUAUAAAACAUGCCUUAUGAGGCGCCAUUUUGUACAAUUGCUCAAAAUUGAGGUUAAACUAAUCGAAUAAAUUCGAAUCACUUGUUAACCAUUGAAAACAGGCACAAACACAAAACCCACAAGCGUGUGUAUCUUUAUUAGCGCUAAUAACCGAGGACAAUCACAUCACUUGACUUCUCCGUCCUCGUGUAAUUGAAAUUUAUUGCUGUAGAUUACUGUGCAUACUGUACUAAUUCAUUUUUUUUGUAUAUUGCUACACAUUGUGACUUUUGUGUGCUCUUCUUGCUUGCUGUUGACAUUUGCGAUCUGGGCACUUACCGUCCGCCUGAUGACACCUUCGAGCCGUUCGUCGACGAUGAACAGUCGCAGGAGCUAAAACUCGUCCGAUAAACUGCAUGAUUGUGCAAUCAAUCAAUGUACUUACCGACCUCAACGUUGAAUUUAGAGAAUUUAGUCUAGUCAUGCCAAAAUCAACUCCCGAAAUAUUUCGAUUCUUAUACUCACUAAGUGUGGUGUGACACUACUGGCACUGGAACAUGGAUCAAACUGACUAGACACUACCGUCUGUGCCUUGGUGAUUCGUGAUCUUAUCAUCAACACGAGUCGAAUUAAUGUUAUUUAUUGCAUGGGAUUAUAUUCCCGAUACCGUGGAGCAGGAGGAACGAAUUGCAAGUGAAAGUAAAAUGCAUUGCAUUGUGUUAUUAAGUCUAACUUGCAUGAUUAGAGCACGCCGUUUGUGAGAUUUGGUUUUUAUUUACUUGGCUUGUGUAUCUAAAUCUUUACAAACCCUAUGAUAUAUCUUUAUUAGAUUAGAUUCUACAGUCAUAAAUCAAUCUGAACUUUGUUCUAAGCUCGUUCGGCAUUCCUUUUGUACUUUUACGAAUAUAUUUAUGUACGUUAGUCAUGAAUUAAGCUAAAUUUUUGUUCGAAACAAUUUAGUUUUGUAGUUUACAGCGAAUAUAAGUUGUUAUUUCUUAGUUUUUAUUGACUAUUUUGUGUUUUGUAUUGUUUUGGUGCUAUUAUGUUUGUUAUUAUUUGUUGUUAUGGAUAAUAAAUGACUACAAUGUCGAUGAAAUAUGAUAGUAAAACAA